CUACGGGCGCACCAGUGGGGAAUAUUGGGCAAUGGAGGAAACUCUGACCCAGCGACGCCGCGUGAGGGAUGAAGGCCUUCGGGUUGUAAACCUCUUUCAGCAGGGAAUAAGCGAAAGUGAAGGUACCUGCAGAAGAAGCACCGGCUAACUAUGUGCCAGCAGCCGCGGUAAUACAUAGGGUGCAAGCGUUGUCCGGAAUUAUUGGGCGUAAAGAGCUCGUAGGUGGUCGAUCACGUCGGAUGUGAAAUUCUGAGGCUUAACCUCGGACCCGCAUUCGAUACGGGUUGAUUAGAGUGUGGUAGGGGAGACUGGAAUUCCUGGUGUAGCGGUGGAAUGCGCAGAUAUCAGGAGGAACACCGAUGGCGAAGGCAGGUCUCUGGGCCAUUACUGACACUGAGGAGCGAAAGCGUGGGGAGCGAACAGGAUUAGAUACCCCAGUAGUC
rnacentral:rRNA from 1 species